rnacentral:rRNA from 1 species
CGCUGGCGGCGUGCCUAAUACAUGCAAGUCGAGCGAGCUUGCCUAGAUGAAUUUGGUGCUUGCACCAAAUGAAACUAGAUACAAGCGAGCGGCGGACGGGUGAGUAACACGUGGGUAACCUGCCCAAGAGACUGGGAUAACACCUGGAAACAGAUGCUAAUACCGGAUAACAACACUAGACGCAUGUCUAGAGUUUAAAAGAUGGUUCUGCUAUCACUCUUGGAUGGACCUGCGGUGCAUUAGCUAGUUGGUAAGGUAACGGCUUACCAAGGCAAUGAUGCAUAGCCGAGUUGAGAGACUGAUCGGCCACAUUGGGACUGAGACACGGCCCAAACUCCUACGGGAGGCAGCAGUAGGGAAUCUUCCACAAUGGACGCAAGUCUGAUGGAGCAACGCCGCGUGAGUGAAGAAGGGUUUCGGCUCGUAAAGCUCUGUUGGUAGUGAAGAAAGAUAGAGGUAGUAACUGGCCUUUAUUUGACGGUAAUUACUUAGAAAGU